rnacentral:rRNA from 1 species
GGUACAGCGCGCGCGGCCCGCUUGGGUUCACCAAGUGCGUGUCGAUGUGCGCUUGCCAUCUUCCUGGGAUUGCGUUCUACCCUUCACUGGGCGGAAUCUUUUUCGGGACUUUUACUUUGAAAAAAUUAGAGUGUUCAAAGCAGGCUUUCGCUAUGAAUACAUUAGCAUGGAAUAAUAACUUAGGACUUCUGUCCUAUUUUAUUGGUUUCUAGGAUGGAAGUA